rnacentral:lncRNA from 1 species
GUCGUCUGCUGUCGUCUUUGUUUUGCCAUUUUCCGAUUUAUUUUCGAAAUAAAGACCAGUUAAAGAUUCCAAAGAAAACGAAACAAUAAUUUUUUGGGAAACGUAACGUGUCUGUUGCUACACGAAAAAUAGCACAAAAAAAAUGAAAUUUCAAAAAUGUGGCCGUCGUGUGGAUUCCGAUGUCUCUUCAUAGAAUAGCUUAAUACACACUUCAUGUUGUGGUGCUCAGAUUCAAGGACAGAGCCAGCCAUCUUAAUCACUUGUUAUGCCAAUUUUGCUUGUGCCGGUGUUGUCUAUGUCUUCAGCAGCGAUCUCAUCACUAUCAUCAGUAACUUGGCAUUUUGAUUGGAGAAACUACCGAUGUUGGUCGAGUUCUUCCUCUAUCUCUAAGUCCCUUUUGUCCUCGUGUACAUCCAUGUGAAUGUGGUUGUAUUCACGAGGACCCCCUUUUUCCCAUCCCGCCUCGUGGAUUCUGUGGAUGGAGUGCCUGGAGAUGCCUGGCUGUAUUUCCCAGGCUUAAAGGUCAUAAUGGGGAUACCAUAUUUCAGAUAAAUCAGUCCAAUAACCACUGUCCAUCCACCAGCAAUAACCAAGACUGCCCAUCUUCAAAUCACGAUUCAUCAACAAGUACACCUUCGCUGAGUUUUCAAAUUCGAAUCGGAGAACCCGAAGAAGGCACAAGUGGGCCAGAACCACCAUUGGGUACUGUCAUCCGUAGAGGUAUAUCAGUGAUUGGCCAAGACCAACUGAUGGCCACGCCUAGUACCAGUAAAAACUACGAGGGUGUGACUAGCGAGCCAAACAGGGUUGUAAAUGGUGUGGUUCCGCAUGCACCCGAAAUGUUACACUCGGAAGAUCCAAAUGAAGAUGAAGAGAUUGAUAGGCGUUCCAAAAUGUUUUUAGUUGCUAUAGUCAGGCAGCAGAAAAAGAAAUUCUUGUCAUGUUGGAUGCUGACACACUAAAACAUUGUUUGGACCACCUCCGCAAGUCCCCGUUGCUUAUUUGCAGUUUUUGUCAUGAACUCUUUGAAGACAUAUCGCCCUUUCAAGUGCACAUUCAGACCUGCUGCUCUCCGCCAGGAGUUGAAGUUAAGCAAAAAAUGGAUCAAGCUGCCAUGGAUCAGCUUACCCGCUCCUUGUGGAAAUCUGUUUUCUUAAAAGAAUUACAGAAUACGCCAAUCGGGCAAAAUUUAAAGCAACACGAAGGACACUUGCAUAACGAACUAAAUCAGAUUUGGUUAUCUGGGUCUUUUGAGCCCAUGCUUAAAUGUCGGGAAAUUUUUAUUCGAGCUGCUGUAGCCAUAGUCUCUCGUAGGUGGGUUACGAACGCUGUCGCCAACGAACUUCAUCGUGUCAGAGCAAUUAAACCUAAGUAACCGAAAAAGCGUGUCAAGAUUGAUUCUGACACGGAUCAGUCAGUCGCAGAUCCAAAUUCAUCCAAAUCUGAAAAAUCAUCUGUCUGGAAGAAGAGAAAGAUUUGUGGCAGGCCAAACAGUAAGAAUGAUCUUGCCAUCCGAGGACUUCUCAAUGAUCAGGAUGAGACGAGCAGCAACACUACUCAGUAUUACUUAACUCCGGAAACGCCCGUGUCCGACCAUGGAAUAGACGUGAUGCCAGUGUUGCCUCCCAGUGUGGAUGCGACAGAACAGUCCCGCCUAACAAACAGUAGAGAAGACUCCGUUACGACACCCAUAACAUACAGUGGAGUAGAUUUUACACCCGAAAUGGAUUACGAAUUGGACCGUUUAGUCAGAGGAGUGCCUGAUGUUGACUUACUCGCAGAAGCCGCCAAAGGUUUUGAAAAUCUUGAUAACGCAUCUGACGCGUGGGAAAAUAAUACCACUGCGGAUGAACCGUUAAGCGAAAACGAGUUUGUUGUUGGCAAGAUCUUAGAUCGUCGGUUGCUUUACAAAGUUGAAGAUUUCAAUCCACUAGAAGAAGAUUACGCGUACCUCGUUUCAUGGGAAGGUUACGGUGAAGAAGACAACACCUGGGAACCUUACGAACAUCUAAACGGGACCCCUUCCCCAUCUUUCUUUCUCUCAGACAUGUUGAUGACGAAAAUGAUAGCGAGAAUGUCCGGGCCGAUCUGAUAGUUGGCGCUCCGUUUUACUACGACCGAGAAGCGGGCGAAGCCGUCUACGUCUAUUCCAACCCGCCCGACGGUGGUCUGACGGCCGAUACGACCUACGUCAAGCUCGUAGGCAAACCUGAAUCAAGAUUUGGACUUUCCUUCUUUUUGUGUGUGUGGUUACAGCGUCGUUACAUUCAGAUUCUUCACGGUGACGUGUUACUCGAGUGCAUCAACUUGUCGGAGGCCCAGGGAGAGUGGAAGGACAUAAGACGGGGACCCAACAUGUUGUUCGUCGUUUCCAGUAGCAAGGAAAGCAGCCGCAAAUUUCGUAUUCGCUUUCAACCAAACAACCAGGAAGAACCGACGACCGUGGCCUACGCCUGCGCCUGUUACCUGUCCCGCUUUUUCAAUUUGCACGACGCCGAUCGACAAGGUCAAGACGACGACCAUCCACCUUCUUGCACCAUCUCGAUCGAGUAGUUGUCCAUCGCCGUUUUGGAUCCUCAAAAUUCCAAAUGGCCUUCGGAUUAUGCGGAUAUUGGUGAGUCUCCCGAACUUGUGCCGGACCUCCUACGUUCUUGCCUAAUGGAUCCUAAUUUCCCCGCUCUGGUCGAGGCUGUGGAAAGUUCGCUGAAGAAGUUGAUGAACUCGGAGAAUUCGAGUCAAAAUCAAAUUUUUUUCACCCUUUUUCUUAAUGUCAUUUAUAACCAGGCAAUCGUAAUUUUUUUAACACUGUAAUAUUUAAAUGAAUCGUUGGUUUUUUCAUACACAAGAUGGGUUUUCUA